GCCAAUGUGGCAUAGUGGUUUGAGAGUCAGACUAUGGCUCUGGAGAGCAGAGUUCAGAUCCCUGCUUGGCCA